UAAAUUUAGAGUUUAAUCCUGGCUCAGGACGAACGCUGGCGGCGUGCUUAACACAUGCAAGUCGAGCGAUGAAGCUUCCUUCGGGAAGUGGAUUAGCGGCGGACGGGUGAGUAACACGUGGGUAACCUGCCUCAAAGUGGGGGAUAGCCUUCCGAAAGGAAGAUUAAUACCGCAUAAUAUGAGAGAAUCGCAUGAUUUUCUUAUCAAAGAUUUAUUGCUUUGAGAUGGACCCGCGGCGCAUUAGCUAGUUGGUAAGGUAACGGCUUACCAAGGCAACGAUGCGUAGCCGACCUGAGAGGGUGAUCGGCCACAUUGGAACUGAGACACGGUCCAGACUCCUACGGGAGGCAGCAGUGGGGAAUAUUGCGCAAUGGGGGAAACCCUGACGCAGCAACGCCGCGUGGGUGAUGAAGGUCUUCGGAUUGUAAAGCCCUGUUUUCUAGGACGAUAAUGACGGUACUAGAGGAGGAAGCCACGGCUAACUACGUGCCAGCAGCCGCGGUAAUACGUAGGUGGCGAGCGUUGUCCGGAUUUACUGGGCGUAAAGGGUGCGUAGGCGGAUGUUUAAGUGGGAUGUGAAAUCCCCGGGCUUAACCUGGGGGCUGCAUUCCAAACUGGAUAUCUAGAGUGCAGGAGAGGAAAGCGGAAUUCCUAGUGUAGCGGUGAAAUGCGUAGAGAUUAGGAAGAACACCAGUGGCGAAGGCGGCUUUCUGGACUGUAACUGACGCUGAGGCACGAAAGCGUGGGUAGCAAACAGGAUUAGAUACCCUGGUAGUCCACGCCGUAAACGAUGGAUACUAGGUGUAGGGGGUAUCAACUCCCCCUGUGCCGCAGUUAACACAAUAAGUAUCCCGCCUGGGGAGUACGGUCGCAAGAUUAAAACUCAAAGGAAUUGACGGGGGCCCGCACAAGCAGCGGAGCAUGUGGUUUAAUUCGAAGCAACGCGAAGAACCUUACCUGGACUUGACAUCCCUUGCAUAGCCUAGAGAUAGGUGAAGCCCUUCGGGGCAAGGAGACAGGUGGUGCAUGGUUGUCGUCAGCUCGUGUCGUGAGAUGUUAGGUUAAGUCCUGCAACGAGCGCAACCCUUGUUAUUAGUUGCUACCAUUAAGUUGAGCACUCUAAUGAGACUGCCUGGGUAACCAGGAGGAAGGUGGGGAUGACGUCAAAUCAUCAUGCCCCUUAUGUCCAGGGCUACACACGUGCUACAAUGGUAGGUACAAUAAGACGCAAGACCGUGAGGUGGAGCAAAACUUAUAAAACCUAUCUCAGUUCGGAUUGUAGGCUGCAACUCGCCUACAUGAAGCUGGAGUUGCUAGUAAUCGCGAAUCAGAAUGUCGCGGUGAAUACGUUCCCGGGCCUUGUACACACCGCCCGUCACACCAUGAGAGCUGGUAACACCCGAAGUCCGUGAGGUAACCGUAAGGAACCAGCGGCCGAAGGUGGGAUUAGUGAUUGGGGUGAAGUCGUAACAAGGUAGCCGUAGGAGAACCUGCGGCUGGAUCACCUCCUUU
rnacentral:rRNA from 1 species